UACGGGGGGGGCAAGCGUUGUUCGGAAUUACUGGGCGUAAAGGGCUGGUAGGCGGCCAACUAAGUCGGAUGUGAAAUCCCCAGGCUUAACCUGGGAACUGCAUCCGAUACUGGUCGGCUUGAAUCCGGGAGAGGGAUGCAGAAUUCCAGGUGUAACGGUGAAAUGCGUAGAUAUCUGGAGGAAUACCGGUGGCGAAGGCGGCAUCCUGGACCGGCAUUGACGCUGAGGAGCGAAAGCCAGGGGAGCAAACGGG
rnacentral:rRNA from 1 species